AAAGGCUAGCAGGUAGAGAAGCAGACCUGUAAGACAUAAUUCCAUCUGCAAAAGAAGAAGUCUAAUCUAUUUUCAUGCCAAAGAGGAAAGGACUUUUCACUUUAUUCAUCACUUCAUUAAUCUCAUUUCAAAAGGGAAGUCCAGGGCUGAAAACAGAGGUUAUUCACGUUUCAAACAAACUCCUUAGGCAUAAUGAGUGAGCAAAGCAUUCAACUGUUAGACUUUGUUGCUUUUCUACCAGCUGGAGACAAGUACAAUGAAGGUCAUACUAUUUAAUCUUACAUGUAGAUAGUCGGGGUUGGAGAAAGAAUUAACUUGAAAAAUGGCAAAUUAUAGAUCUGUUAUGCACUGGGGCUCAGGCAGAGUUUGGAACAACAUGAGAAGCUCGAUGGUAUCUUUUUCCACCUUGUUUUAGUCUACAGAUUGACUGAAUGAAAAAUACUGUGGCGAACCAUGAGAAAUAACGAAAAGCCCUACAUACCCACCACCAUUCUGCAGCAAAACGGAGGGGUUUGGAACGACUGGAAAUACUUCCACCCCAGGAAUUUCCAGGACAUCUGAUUUUCUUUUGGCUUGACAUAGCCUCUUGGCUGCCGAGCUCCAUCCAGCUCCCAGCAGCCACCUGCUCGGAUCCAUCCUAGACAAGGCCCUGCUGCUGGCCUCAGGCUACCUUCUGGAAUCCUCCAAAAGUCCUAGGGGAACAAAUUCAACUUAGAACCUCUGUUAUGAAGCUUUCAGUGAUACCUCCCUGACUAAGGUAAGGGCCCCUCUUUGUACUCAUAUAGCUCCUUAUCAUACCUUUAUCACGUCUUUUUCACUUUCU